GAUGAACGCUGGCGGCGUGCCUAAUACAUGCAAGUCGAGCGAACAGACGAGGAGCUUGCUCCUCUGACGUUAGCGGCGGACGGGUGAGUAACACGUGGAUAACCUACCUAUAAGACUGGGAUAACUUCGGGAAACCGGAGCUAAUACCGGAUAAUAUAUUGAACCGCAUGGUUCAAUAGUGUAAGACGGUUUUGCUGUCACUUAUAGAUGGAUCCGCGCCGCAUUAGCUAGUUGGUAAGGUAACGGCUUACCAAGGCAACGAUGCGUAGCCGACCUGAGAGGGUGAUCGGCCACACUAGAACUGAGACACGGUCCAGAGUCCUACGAGAGGCAGCAGUAGGGAAUCUUACGCAAUGAGCGAAAGCCUGACGGAGCAACGCCGCGUGAGUGAUGAAGGUCUUCGGAUCGUAAAACUCUGUUAUUAGGGAAGAACAAAUGUGUAAGUAACUAUGCACGUCUUGACGGUACCUAAUCAGAAAGCCACGGCUAACUACGUG
rnacentral:rRNA from 1 species